GUGAACGCUGGCGGUAGGCCUAACACAUGCAAGUCGAACGGCAGCACAGUAAGAGCUUGCUCUUACGGGUGGCGAGUGGCGGACGGGUGAGGAAUACAUCGGAAUCUACUUUUUCGUGGGGGAUAACGUAGGGAGACUUACGCUAAUACCGCAUACGACCUACGGGUGAAAGCAGGGGAUCUUCGGACCUUGCGCGAUUGAAUGAGCCGAUGUCGGAUUAGCUAGUUGGCGGGGUAAAGGCCCACCAAGGCGACGAUCCGUAGCUGGUCUGAGAGGAUGAUCAGCCACACUGGAACUGAGACACGGUCCAGACUCCUACGGGAGGCAGCAGUGGGGAAUAUUGGACAAUGGGCGCAAGCCUGAUCCAGCCAUACCGCGUGGGUGAAGAAGGCCUUCGGGUUGUAAAGCCCUUUUGUUGGGAAAGAAAAGCAGCAGGUUAAUACCCCGCUGUUCUGACGGUACCCAAAGAAUAAGCACCGGCUAACUUCGUG
rnacentral:rRNA from 1 species